CCUACGGGUGGCUGCAGUGGGGAAUAUUGCACAAUGGGGGAAACCCUGAUGCAGCGACGCCGCGUGAGUGAAGAAGCGUUUCGGCGCGUAAAGCUCUGUCAGCGGGGAAGAAACACGGUUCGCGAGAGCCGCGGACGGUACCCGACCAAGAAGCCCCGGCUAACUACGUGCCAGCAGCCGCGGUAAUACGGAAGGUCCGGGCGUUAUCCGGAUUUAUUGGGUUUAAAGGGAGCGUAGGCCGCAUGUCAAGCGUGCUGUGAAAUGUCCGGGCUCAACCCGGGCCUUGCAGCGCGAACUGGCGUGCUUGAGUCCGCGGAAAGCAGGCGGAAUUCGUCGUGUAGCGGUGAAAUGCUUAGAUAUGACGAAGAACCCCGAUUGCGAAGGCAGCUUGCUGCAGCGGAACUGACGCUGAUGCUCGAAAGCGCGGGUAUCGAACAGGAUUAGAUACCCGGGUAGUC
rnacentral:rRNA from 1 species